UCAGUUCUUACAUUCAUUUACUAACAAGACUAGGAAAACUGAGAGAGGAUCUCAACACCCUGGUAAUGAAUGGCACUCCAUGGUUUCUGUUAGAGCAGGAAAGGUCGGGGGCACAUUCAAGACUUGUGAUCCCAUGGCCUUUACUCUUAAGCUUCCAGCUGAGUCAGGGGAGGAAGUGGUGAGAAAGGCUGGAAGGUGCACAGGAGCUGGAUAAAGAAGAGUCUCACAUACUGAAUUAAGGAGCUUGGAUUUUAAUCUCAUCUGGAAUUGAAGUGCUUGGAACUCUGGGAGUAUGGUGUAUGUGCUCUCCUCCACCCUGGUGGCUGGCCUAUACAGACCGUCAGUCACACAGGGUGAGGAAGCUUGGCCCAAGGAGUUAUUCUGGAGAAGUUGGAGAUCAACUUUGUUUAAGAAGUCUACACUACUUUCCUUUUGUUUCAUCAGCUUCUCCCUACCCUUUGUCCAGACACUAGAUUUCCCAUCAGUUCCUCGUUCAUGUAUUCAUCAAACCUUUACUGUGUACUGACUUU
rnacentral:lncRNA from 1 species